rnacentral:tRNA from 1 species
GGCCUCAUGCUGAAAUUGGUAGACAGUCACGACUUAAAAUCGUGUGGGUUUUCCCGUCCCAGUUCGAGUCUGGGUGAGGCCACCA